rnacentral:rRNA from 1 species
AACGUGCCCAGUCGUGGGGGAUAACGCAGCGAAAGCUGUGCUAAUACCGCAUACGAUCUCUGGAUGAAAGCGGGGGACUCAGCAAUGGGCCUCGCGCGAUUGGAGCGGCCGAUAUCAGAUUAGCUAGUUGGUGGGGUAAAAGCCCACCAAGGCGACGAUCUGUAGCUGGUCUGAGAGGACGACCAGCCACACUGGAACUGAGACACGGUCCAGACUCCUACGGGAGGCAGCAGUGGGGAAUUUUGGACAAUGGGCGAAAGCCUGAUCCAGCAAUGCCGCGUGCAG